GUGAUAGUUUUGAAAGAAUUGUUUGUAUUGAAAAUGUGUAAGGUUACAAGAAAGAGAACUUAUACAAGUGGAGAAGGAUGUCGUGAGUCACCCGAUGAACAUCACACACCAUGCUUCACACACUAAUAUUCUAACACCCAUACUUUACACAUUAAUAUUCUAACACCCAUACUUUACACAUUAACCCAUACCUAUAACCCAUACUUUGGAUAUUAGAUAUUCUACCCAUACCUAUAACCCAUACUUUGGAUAUUAAAUAAUCUAACACUCCCCCUCAAACGAAGGCUAGUAUAUUCAUCAAGCCAAGUUGGACCAAAAGAGUGUUGAAUUGAACCCGAGACAAUCCUUUGGUGAAGAUGUCUGCUAGUUGAUCUGUGCUCCGAACAAAAACAGGUUGAAUGACAUCAGAUUGGGUUUUUUCUCGAACAAAAUGACAGUCCAUUUCAAUGUGUUUGGUUCUUUCAUGAAAUACAGGAUUAGAUGCAAUGUAAAUAGCAGCUUGGUUAUCACAGAAAAGAGGCAUAGGCAGUGUUCUCUUGAACCCUAAGUCGUUGAGCAAACCUUGCAGCCAAAUUAACUCACAGGUAGUAGAUGCCAUGGCACGAUAUUCAGCUUCUGCACUUGAUCGAGCCACCACACUUUGUUUUUUGCUUUUCCAUGUCACCAGAUUUCCACCAACAAAUGUACAAUAUCCAGUAGUAGAUCUUCGAUCAAUUUUGGAGCCACCCCAGUCUGCAUCUGUGUAGCCAACAAUGUGAGCAUUUCCGAUCUUCCUCAUCACAAUCCCAGUUCCAACAGUGCCUUUCAAGUAGCGCAAGAUCCUUCGAACAGCUUGUAAGUGAAUUGAUCGAGGAGCAUGCAUGAACUGACUGACUAGGCUCACGGCAUGCAUGAUAUCAGGACGAGUAAUGGUAAGGUAAAUAAGUUUCCCUACCAAUCUCUGGUAUAAACCAACGUCUAUCAGUAAAUCUCCAUCUAAUCCAAGUUUCUCUUUGCAAGCUAUUGGGGUUGCCACUGGUUUUGCCUCAAGCAUUUUGGACUCUUGAAGUAAAUCAAGUAUGUACUUGCGUUGGUUCAAGAGCAAGCCUUUACUAGAUGAAGCAACUUCAAUGCCUAGAAAAUACUUCAGAGUUCCUAGAUCUUUAAUUGCAAACUUUUUGUGAAGAAAGCCCUUAAGUCGCUGAAUUUCUGUCAAACUAUCACCAGUCACAAUGAGAUCAUCGACAUAGAUGAGAACGACAAGUUUACCUGCUGAACUAUCUCGCACAAAUAGUGAGGAAUCUGCAUUGCUCCUUUUAAAACCAAUGUUCUCUAACACAGAACUUAACUUGGCAUACCAAGCUCGAGGAGAUUGUUUGAGGCCAUAAAUGGCCUUGUGUAACUUGCAAACCAUGCCUCUUCUUCUUGUGGAUGUCCCGGAGGCAACUGCAUGUACACAUCUUCUUUAAGUUCUCCAUGCAGGAAGGCAUUCUUUAACAUCCAUUUGGUAUAGGGGCCAAUCAUGGUUGACAGCAACCGAGAGAAGCACUCUUACCGAGUUCAUCUUUGCCACAGGAGCAAAGGUUUCCUUGUAAUCAAUGCCAUAAGUUUGAGUAAAACCUCUAGCCACCAAUCUAGCUUUGUGUCUCUCCACUGAACCAUCACUCUUAAAUUUGGUUUUAUACACCCAUCGACACCCCACAGCUCUCAUCCCCUUAGGUAGCUUGGUGAUGCUCCAAGUUUUGUUUUCAUUUAGAGCUCUAAGCUCCUCAUCCAUAGCUGUUUGCCAGAUCAAUUGAGAGUUAGCUUCUUGGAAUGAGCUUGGUUCAGAUGAGGCUGAAAUUUUGCUUAGGAAAGCAGCAUGAGACGAAGAUACUCUUGAGUAUUCAAGAUAUUUUUCUAUAGGAUGUCUUGAGGCAUAACUUACAUAAUCUUUAAACCAAGUUGGCUUACCCCGAUUUCUACUAGGGUUUCUCCUUGGAGUGAUCACUUCAGGAGUAAUAGCAAGGUUCUCCUCGGACGAAAUUUGAUUUUGUUCAGUGUCUUCAGUUGAUUCAUUAUCAACAAGUAUGUCAGAUGAUGAAUUACACUCAACUGGAUCAAUCGAAAUUUCAUUGUUGCUUGGUUGAUCUGGAGCUGAAAAAUGAUGAGGCAGUGCAUUGAUUUCCAUAAUUGGCGUGAGGAUUUGAUCAAGAAAGUCCUCCUCCCCAGAAGAUCUUCACCCCUGGUACUAGCAAAAAAAGGAGUUUUCUCGUCAAAAAACCACAUCUCUAGACACCAAAAGUUUCCUGCGCUUUGGGUCAUAGCACUUAUAUCCCUUUUGAACAGAUGAGUACCCUAAGAACAAACACCUUACAGCUCUAGGGUCCAAUUUAUCUCGAUGCAAGGUUUGAAUAUGAACAAAGCAAACACAUCCAAACACUCGAAGGUGAGACAAGUUAAUUUUCCUGCCAUUAAGUGUUUCAAGAGGUGCCUUGAAUUUGAGAACCUUGCUUGGAAGCCUAUUAAUUACAUAUGCAGCAGUAAGAACCCCAUGAGACCAGAAUUUCUUAGGUACACUCAUUUGAAGCAUAAGUGAUCGAGUUUUCUCCAGUAGAUCACGGUUUCUUCCUUUCUGCUACUCCGUUUUGUUGCGGAGUACCAACACAGCUCGUUUGGUGAAUUAUUCCAUGACAAGUUAGAUAUUGAGUAAAAGCAUUAGACAUAUACUCAGUACCAUUGUCUGACCUUAAGACUUUAAGUUGGGUUGAGAACUGAUUUGUAACAAGACUGUGAAAUUCUUGGAACACAUUAAUAACUUCAUCUUUUGAUUUCAACAAAUACAACCAGGUACAUCUUGAGAAAUCAUCCACAAAGGUGACAAAGUAUCUAAAACCAUCAAAAGAAACCAAGGGUGCAGGUCCCCAAACAUCAGAGUGCACAAUCUCAAAAGGUUUACAUGACUUGGUUGAUGAGACAUCAAAAGGCAACCUCGUCUGUUUUUGAAAAAAUGGCAAACUUCACAAUCUUGAGUCAUCACAUUCUCUGAAGUUUUGAAGAGAUGUGAUUGCACAAGAUUAGAGGGAUGCCCUAAUCGUCUAUGCCAUAAUAGAUGAUUCUUCAAAAAACCAACUUGAAGACCUCUAGCUUCAACAGGUUGCAAUGAAAGCAUAUAGAGGCCAUCUUUAUACAUGCCUUCACCAAUCUUCUUCUUCGUGAUACGAUCCUGGAAAAUCACAUUGAAUGGCGAGAAUAUAACAUCACAGUUUAAGGAAUUUGUCAACCUUCCUACUGACAGAAGCUGAAAUGGAAAGGAGGGCACAUAUAGAGCAGUUGAUUCAACAUUAGUAUCAAUUAACUUGACUUUCCCUUCACCCAAAACUGAUACACCAGUUCCAUUAGCAACAGAGACAAAUUGCGGAAUAACUGCCUCUUUAAAGUCAUGCAUAUAUCUUUUUAUAUUUGUAAUGUGAUCAGUCGCUCCAGAGUCUAUUAUCCAAACAUUUGCAAGUUUUCUGGAAGCAAGUGCAGCACUAAAUGAGUUUAGAAUACCUGACAUAUCAACGGAAGAUGACACCUUUGUCUGAAGAAAUUUUGCGAACUGCUCAAAUAAUUCAGUGGUGCUAGCUUCACUGUUUCCUUUAUGAAGAUUGCUUUCAUCUUUCUUCUGAGUGAAGGAAGUGAACUCACUCAAGAGAGCUGAGGGAUUAGAUGUGAAGUUCCCAACAGUUGAGGCAGUCUGCAAGCGAGGGACUUGAUUUGCACUGCGACCAGGUUUGGUUUGUUUGGAAAAGUUAGGCUUAAGGUGUGGAUACAACACCCAACAAGUGUCUCUGAGAUGAUUCUUCUGUCCACAAUGACUGCAUUGCAUUUCUCCUUUCUUUCCUUUGAAAUUUUUUCCUUCAAACCUUCUGUCACUUGCAACGAAAGCUCUAGACUCAGGAUCACCAACCUUAGUACUCAUAACUUUCCUUCUUGCUUCUUCUCGUUGAACGAUAGUGCACACAGUAUUGAGAGAUGGUAGUUCAACACUCAUCAAUAUGUGGCUUCGCAGGUCCUCAUAGGUAGAGUCAAGACUGGAUAAAAGCUGAAAGACCUUGUCUUCUUCAGCCUGCUUAAGAAGGAUUGCUGGGUCUGUAGUGUGAGGUCGAUAGAGAUUCAGCUCAUUCCACAUAGACUUCAGUCUUCCCAAGUGCUCGAUAAAAGUCUUUCCAUCUUGAUUCAAAACAGAAAGACUCUUCUGCAGCUCAAAUAUCCUGGCUGCAUUAUUUUGAUUUCCAUACAUCUCCUUGACAGCCUUCCACAGAUCAAAAGCUGAUUCUGAAAAGCUGAAAAUUUCUGAUACCUUUGAGCCCAUUGAGUUGAGCAACCAGGACAUGACGAGCUGAUCCUUGCAGAACCAUUCUUCAUACUUAGAAUCACCAACCUUGGGAAGGUACGAUAGUUCCAUUGAUGAAACCAAGCUUAGAUCUUCCUCCAAGAGCUAAAGUAAUAGCUCUUGACCAAGGAAGAUAAUUAAACUCAGUUAGGAGUAUGGAACAAAGACGUUGAUUGGGAUUUCCAUCAGCUUCACUUGAAGAAACUGAUGAAGAACCAAGGAUGUUCUCGGAUGAAGCAGCAAGUAUAUUUUCUUCUUCCAUUUCAAAAGAUUUCAGAGAACAGGUUCUUUAGGAAGCCUGCUCUGAUACCAUGUGAUAGUUUUGAAAGAAUUGUUUGUAUUGAAAAUGUGUAAGGUUACAAGAAAGAGAACUUAUACAAGUGGAGAAGGAUGUCGUGAGUCACCGAUGAACAUCACACACCAUGCUUCACACACUAAUAUUCUAACACCCAUACUUUACACAUUAAUAUUCUAACACCCAUACCUUUACACAUUAACCCAUACCUAUAACCCAUACUUUGGAUAUUAGAUAUUCUACCCAUACCUAUAACCCAUACUUUGGAUAUUAA
rnacentral:lncRNA from 1 species